CCGAUGGCGACCGGCGCACGGGUGAGUAACACGUAUCCAACCUGCCGAUAACUCGGGGAUAGCCUUUCGAAAGAAAGAUUAAUAUCCGAUAGGAUAUCAAGGUCGCAUGAUCUUGAUAUUAAAGAAUUUCGGUUAUCGAUGGGGAUGCGUUCCAUUAGUUAGUUGGCAGGGUAACGGCCCACCAAGACGACGAUGGAUAGGGGUUCUGAGAGGAAGGUCCCCCACAUUGGAACUGAGACACGGUCCAAACUCCUACGGAAGGCAGCAG
rnacentral:rRNA from 1 species